AGUGAACGCUGGCGGUAGGCCUAACACAUGCAAGUCGAACGGCAGCACAGUAAGAGCUUGCUCUUACGGGUGGCGAGUGGCGGACGGGUGAGGAAUACAUCGGAAUCUACUUUUUCGUGGGGGAUAACGUAGGGAAACUUACGCUAAUAUCGCAUACGACCUACGGGUGAAAGCAGGGGAUCUUCGGACCUUGCGCGAUUGAAUGAGCCGAUGUCGGAUUAGCUAGUUGGCGGGGUAAAGGCCCACCAAGGCGACGAUCCGUAGCUGGUGUGAGAGGAUGAUCAGCCACACUGGAACUGGGACACGGUCCAGACUCCUACGGGAGGCAGCAGUGGGGAAUAUUGGACAAUGGGCGCAAGCCUGAUCCAGCCAUACCGCGUGGGUGAAGAAGGCCUUCGGGUUGUAAAGCCCUUUUGUUGGGAAAGAAAAGCAGCAGGUUAAUACCCCGCUGUUCUGACGGUACCCAAAGAAUAAGCACCGGCUAACUUCGUG
rnacentral:rRNA from 1 species